GACGAACGCUGGCGGCGUGCUUAACACAUGCAAGUCGAACGGAAAGGCCCUGCUUUUGUGGGGUGCUCGAGUGGCGAACGGGUGAGUAACACGUGAGUAACCUGCCCUUGACUUUGGGAUAACUUCAGGAAACUGGGGCUAAUACCGGAUAGGAGCUCCUGCUGCAUGGUGGGGGUUGGAAAGUUGCGGCGGUUGGGGAUGGACUCGCGGCUUAUCAGCUUGUUGGUGGGGUAGUGGCUUACCAAGGCUUUGACGGGUAGCCGGCCUGAGAGGGUGACCGGCGACCAUGGGCCUGAGAGACGGAGCAGAGUCGAAUGGGAGGCAGCAGUGGGGAGUAUUGCACAGUGGGCGCGAGUGUGAUGCAGAAACGCCGCGUGCGGGAUGACGGCCUUCGGGGUGAGAACCGCUUUCGCCUGUGACGAAGCGUGAGUGACGGUACUGGAUAAAGAAGCACCGGCUAACUACGUG
rnacentral:rRNA from 1 species